GACGAACGCUGGCGGCGUGCCUAACACAUGCAAGUCGAACGGAGAGGACAUGAAGUAUUUCGGUACGGAAUGCUCUCUUAGUGGCGAACGGGUGAGUAACACGUGGGCAACCUGCCCCAGACUGGGGGAUAACAUUGUGAAAACAGUGCUAAUACCGCAUGACAGGGUUCCGGGCAUCCGGGACCCUUGAAAGGAGAAAUCCGGUCAGGGAUGGGCCCGCGUCCAAUUAGCUAGUUGGCGGGGUAACGGCCCACCAAGGCGACGAUUGGUAGCCGAACUGAGAGGUUGAUCGGCCACAUUGGGACUGAGACACGGCCCAGACUCCUACGGGAGGCAGCAGUGGGGAAUAUUGGUCAAUGGACGCAAGUCUGAACCAGCCAUGCCGCGUGCAGGAUGACGGCCCUAUGGGUUGUAAACUGCUUUUCCACGGGAAGAACCCUCCGACGUGUCGGAGACUGACGGUACCGUGGGAAUAAGCAUCGGCUAACUCCGUG
rnacentral:rRNA from 1 species